GACAGAGGGUGCAAACGUUGUUCGGAAUUACUGGGCGUAAAGCGCGUGUAGGCGGCCCUGCAAGUCGGAUGUGAAAUCCCACGGCUCAACCGUGGAAGUGCAUUCGAAACUGCAGGGCUAGAGUCCUGGAGAGGAAGGUGGAAUGCUUGGUGUAGAGGUGAAAUUCGUAGAUAUCAAGCGGAACACCGGUGGCGAAGGCGGCCUUCUGGACAGUGACUGACGCUGAGACGCAAAAGCGUGGGGAGCAAACAGG
rnacentral:rRNA from 1 species